rnacentral:rRNA from 1 species
GACGAACGCUGGCGGCGUGCCUAAUACAUGCAAGUCGAGCGGACGAAUCGAAAGCUUGCUUUUGAUUCGUUAGCGGCGGACGGGUGAGUAACACGUGGGCAACCUGCCCUGUAGACGGGGACAACACCGAGAAAUCGGUGCUAAUACCGGAUAACACGAAAUGUCGCAUGACGUUUCGUUGAAAGACGGCGCAAGCUGCCGCUACAGGAUGGGCCCGCGGCGCAUUAGCUAGUUGGUGAGGUAACGGCUCACCAAGGCGACGAUACGUAGCCGACCUGAGAGGGUGAUCGGCCACACUGGGACUGAGACACGGCCCAGACUCCUACGGGAGGCAGCAGUAGGGAAUCUUCCGCAAUGGACGAAAGUCUGACGGAGCAACGCCGCGUGAGCGAAGAAGGCCUUCGGGUCGUAAAGCUCUGUUGUUAGGGAAGAACAAGUAACGCAGUAACUGGCGUUACCGUGACGGUACCUAACGAGAAAGCCACGGCUAACUACGUG